AUGAUGUCAAGUCAGCAUGGACCUUUAUAUCCAGGGCUACACACACGCUACAAUGGCCAACACAAUAGGUUGCUAAGCCGCGAGGUGGCGCCAAUCCAUAAAGUUGGUCUCAGUUCAGAUUGUAGGCUGCAACCCGCCUGCAUGAAGAUGGAGUUGCUAGUAACCGCAGGUCAGCUAUACUGCGGUGAAUACGUUCCCGGGGCUU
rnacentral:rRNA from 1 species